UCCCGGGAUCCCCCCCAGGUUCCCAGGGAAGGGCCGUGCCGGGGGUGGAAACGGGAACCUUUAUUGGGGGUUUGGGGUCCGGGGGGACCCGAGAAGGAAACACCGGAAAUGGGGAAAGGAGGGAAAAGAAACCGGGAGGGGACAAAAAACGGGAACGGCCCCAAAGGGGGGGGGGAGGGGAAUGUCCUGUGUCUGUCCUGUGUCCGUGUGUCUGUCCUGUGUCCAUCCUGUGUCUGUCCUGUGUCCAUCCUGUGUCCGAGUGUCUGUCCUGUGUCUGUGUGUCCAUCCUGUGUCUGUCCUGUGUCCGUGUGUCCAUCCCGUGUCUGUUCUUUGUCUGUGUGUCCCUCCUGUGUCUGUGUGUCCAUUCCAUGUCCAUCCCAUGUCCGUGUGUCCAUCCCAUGUCCGUGUGUCCAUCCCGUGUCCGUGUGUCCAUCCCGUGUCCAUCCCGUGUCCAUCCCAUGUCCAUCCCAUGUCCGUGUGUCCAUCCCAUGUCCGUGUGUCCGUCCCGUGUCCGUGUGUCCAUCCCAUGUCCGUGUGUCCGUCCCGUGUCCGUGUGUCCAUCCCAUGUCCGUGUGUCCGUCCCAUGUCCGUGUGUCCGUCCCGUGUCCGUGUGUCCAUCCCAUGUCCGUCCCGUGUCCGUGUGUCCAUCCCAUGUCUGUCCCAUGUCCGUGUGUCCAUCCCAUGUCCGUCCCAUGUCCGUCCCAUGUCCAUCCCAUGUCUCCCGUGUCCGUGUGUCCAUCCCGUGUCCAUCCCAUGUCCGUGUGUCCAUCCCGUGUCCAUCCCAUGUCCAUCCCAUGUCCAUCCCGUGUCCGUGUGUCCAUCCCGUGUCCGUGUGUCCAUCCCGUGUCCAUCCCAUGUCCAUCCCAUGUCCAUGUGUCCAUUCCAUGUCCGUGUGUCCAUCCCGUGUCCAUCCCGUGUCCGUCCCGUGUCCGUGUGUCCGUCUCACAGCACGAUCCACGUGUAGCGCUCGUUGUCCGCCAGGACCUUCAGGGAGCAGCCUGGGGGGGGGAUGAAGCAGUUUUUGGGGGGAAAGACCCCCAAAAUCAACCCCCCAGACCCCCCGCAGG
rnacentral:lncRNA from 1 species